AAUCAUCGUUAAGCUAGCUUCGAAAAUUAAAUUACCAAUGAUUCAUAGUCAUAGUAAACGUGAAAGUCAUGCAACCUACCGUCAACUAUUUUGUUCAAACUCAUUGUAUUCUACUAAAUGUGUCAUUGAAAUGAUACAGGAUUAAUCUUAAUUAUCGGUUGUUUCUAUUGAACUUGCUAGAUCACCGACCCCAGCAUGGAACAAUCUCUCAUUCCAUCUUAUAGAGAAUCUUGGAUAACUGAUUUGUGGUUUCAUGUUUCUAAAUUGGCACGACUGACCAUAUGAGAAGUUAUGUCCUUCCAAGAAAAGAAGAUUCCUUGUUUGCUAACCCGUUAUUGGCUGCUACCCUUGAAUCUCCCUAUUUGUCAACAACAAAAAACGAGGUUAAAUAUUGUGAUCAUGCUAUCAUCAUUAUGUUGCCUAUAAGACCAAAGUGGAGCAUCUUGUUAUCACUCUAAAAUAAGGCAAUGACCACACGUUCAACGCGGAUCAUUCGUUCUGUCAUCGAACUUGACUCAUUCCAUCUUCUGGAUUGCUUAUGAAAGCUGAUUGGUGUUACCUGUCCAUUUAGGUAAUGACCGAGAAGAUGCGGCCUACAACAUGAACAUAAUUUAGGCGGCCAGCAUCAUUCGACUACCCAACCGGCUUCUACUACCCUGCUCUCAACACAUCACGGAGUUUUACCCUUUAGAUUUUUGGCUGUUCGCGAUGUGUGAUGGCUUUUCCUUGGACGAGAUGAUGAUUUUGGUGAGAAAAAUAUUGCUUUCUAACCUUCAGUUUCCUAAAUAUGAAAAGUAAUGUUCGUUCAAGAAAGUCAACGAGGUCCCUUACUCCCUUGUUUGCUAACCCAAUGACUGCUACCCUUGAAUCUCCCUAUUUAGCUCCUUACACAGUCCCUCUUGAUUUGAGGGUAAUCCUUCGCUACUGAUCAUGGACUUCAUUGGUGAAACUGAAAACCGACGAGAGAAUGAUGUAAUCCAAGACUGAUAAAUUGUGUAGUUAGAUUAUAUUACAAGUGCAUUUCUGGGCUCCCUUCUUUUCUGUGGCCCCGUUUCCCUAACUAACCACUAACCAACGCCCGCCGGUGGUCACUC